AUACGUAGGGGGCGAGCGUUGUCCGGAAUUAUUGGGCGUAAAGGGUUCGCAGGCGGUCUGAUAAGUCAGAUGUGAAAGGCAAUGGCUCAACCAUUGUAAGCAUUUGAAACUGUCAGACUUGAGUUAAGGAGAGGAAAGUGGAAUUCCUAGUGUAGCGGUGAAAUGCGUAGAUAUUAGGAGGAAUACCAGUGGCGAAGGCGACUUUCUGGACUUAUACUGACGCUGAGGAACGAAAGCGUGGGGAGCAAACAGGGUUAGAUACCCUGGUAGUCCACGCCGUAAACGAUGAGUGCUAGGUGUUGGGGGUCAAACCUCGGUGCCGCAGCUAACGCAUUAAGCACUCCGCCUGGGGAGUACGUACGCAAGUAUGAAACUCAAAUGAAUUGACGGGG
rnacentral:rRNA from 1 species